UACGUAGGCGGCCUGGAAAGUUGGGUGUGAAAUCCCUCGGCUCAACCGAGGAACUGCACUCAAAACUACUAGGCUCGAGGGAGAUAGAGGUAAGCGGAACUCAGGGUGGAGCGGUGGAAUGCGUUGAUAUCCUGGGGAACACCAGUUGCGAAGGCGGCUUACUGGGUCUCUUCUGACGCUGAGGUACGAAAGCUAGGGGAGCGAACG
rnacentral:rRNA from 1 species